rnacentral:rRNA from 1 species
GACAGAGGGUGCAAACGUUGUUCGGAAUUACUGGGCGUAAAGCGCGUGUAGGCUGCUCUGCAAGUCGGGUGUGAAAGCCCUGGGCUCAACCUAGGAAGUGCACUCGAAACUGCAGAGCUGGAGUCCUGGAGAGGAAGGCGGAAUUCUCGGUGUAGAGGUGAAAUUCGUAGAUAUCGAGAGGAACACCGGUGGCGAAGGCGGCCUUCUGGACAGUGACUGACGCUGAGACGCGAAAGCGUGGGAGCAAACAGG